UUCGAACCGCUCAUGUCAAACCCAAGUCACGUUUGAAUUUCCCACGUCAUGCUCAGAACAGCCACGUCACACUCACAGUCCUCCCUUGGAGCAGAAUGACAGUGUUAGUGGUAAGGUGUGAGAACACCUGGUGUAGGCUUGGGGAGGGGAGGCAAGGGAGCCGGGCACUUGUGGAGGGACAGUCCUAGGCAUGCGGAGGCAAGCUCUGCCUUCCCAGUGCUCUUGCCUCAGAGCCCUGGUUGGUGGGGAGUGUUUGCAGCAGGGUGGCACACCCAGGUCACGGUCAAACCACACACAUCACAGCCACAUCACACCCAAGUCACGUUCGAAUCAGCCACGUCACACCCACGUCACGUUCGAAUCUCCCACGUCACGUUCGAAUUUCCCACGUCACACCCCUCUCACAUACCCCUCUCUUUCUCUCUGCUCUGCAGCUGCACCCAGGACAACAAGGUCACCCCCCCCCCUAGCAGGAAACCUCUCCUGCUCUCUGGGUGUCAUGUCUCCCUGGGGCCAGGCUGUGACGUGCAGCCCGAGGGAAGGGGCUCUGUGCUGGGGUGCAAAGACCUGGAUAGGAGGCUCUGGGGUGGGAGUGGGUGGCUUUGGGGAGGGCUGUGAUUCACCCAGCAGUGUGGGAGCUGCCCUGUGACCCUCCCCUGUGCCCCCACCACGUCCUGCUAUGUGGGGGGGGGCAGGACUGGGGUGUCCCUGAGCCCGAACCUCCCCCUGGCCAGGGGCUGCCUUGUCCAUGUCCCUGCCCACGCGGAUCCCCCUCGGGGCCAUUUAAGGGACAGCGGGAGAGUCUGGGUGCCUGUCAUCAUCUGCAUCGUCCUGGGGACCCUGCUCUGCCUGCUCCUGACCCUCCUGGUGGGGCAAGUGCAAAGUGCUCAGCACAGAGGUGGGUCCUUCCCCAUCGGUCUCAGGGUGGGCGGUGCCUCUUGGCAGCCCUGUGGGUGCUGUGGGGUGUCCAUGAGGGGCAUAGAUGGAGCUGGGGUAGGGGUGCUGCCUCCUGUCCYAUCCCUGCCCCUUCACUGUCUGGCUGUGAGACAUCAGCAACCAGGCUGAAGAGAGCCCAGAUGCGGGGCAGGGGGGUGGUGAUGUGGGAGGAGAGAAAUGGCAGAGAGGGGCUKUGGGAAACAGGAGCAGCGGGAAAUGCCUGAGGUUGCUGCUGGCCAUGCUCUGGGCUGGAGGGGAGGCUGUGAGGCAGGAGCAGUGCUGGGAGGAGUGCAGGGCAGGGUGUCUGGUCCCUGGGCUGCUCCCUCUGUCCAUCCCUGUUAUGGACCCAUCUGUCAGAGAGGGAGGACCUCCCUGGGGAGAGGAGCUGCAGGGACUGGAGCUGGGGCCCAAAAGGGCACGGGGCUGUCUCUGAAGGGACAGUAUGAGGGUGACAUUGCCCCAGACCAUCUCCACAGGGACAUUGAAGUCACCAGGGAUGUGGCAGUGAUGCCUGGACAGAGCAGUGGGGCUGGGCUGACAGCAGUGUCAUUCAGUGUCAUCAUCAGAGUGGGGAGGAAUCGCCCUCUGGAGUGACUCCUGAGCUGUGUGGAGUGGGUUAGGGCCAGACAUGCCCGUCCAAGCUGGGUGCCUGCAGCCCUGUGCCCUGCAGCGUUGCAUGGGGACUUCCUGGGCUCGAUACAUGCCCGCCUCCA
ensembl:lncRNA